CAAGUUAGAUAAGUGAUUGCGGCUGCCGUAUGGCAGGUGAGGAAAGUCCGGGCUUCAAAGGGCAGGAUGCCGGAUAACGUCCGGUGGAGGUGACUCCCAGGCUAGUGCAACAGAAAUAUACCGCCAGCUUUCGCUGGUAAGGGUGGAAAGGCGAGGUAAGAGCUCACCGCAGUCUUGGUAACAAGGCUGGCUCUGUAAACCCCAUCCGAAGCAAGACCAAAUAUAAGACUAUGCAGUUGCCCGCUGGGUCUUUAGGUAGGUCGCUUGAGCCUUAUGGUAACAUAAGGUCUAGAUAGAUAAUCACUCUCGACAUAACCCGGCUUAUAGUCUAACUUGCACA
rnacentral:RNase_P_RNA from 1 species